rnacentral:rRNA from 1 species
GGUUUAAUUCGAAGCAACGCGAAGAACCUUACCAGGUCUUGACAUCUUCUGACAAUUCCAGAGAUGGAACGUUCCCUUCGGGGACAGAAUGACAGGUGGUGCAUGGUUGUCGUCAGCUCGUGUCGUGAGAUGUUGGGUUAAGUCCCGCAACGAGCGCAACCCUUAUUGUCAGUUGCCAUCAUUAAGUUGGGCACUUUGGCGAGACUGCCGGUGACAAACCGGA